rnacentral:misc_RNA from 1 species
CUGCCCUCAAGCACGGCUUGUGUGUUGGGCCCCCGUCCCCGGUUCACCCCGGGGACGGGCCCGAAAGGCAGCGGCGGCACCGCGUCCGAUCCUCGAGCGUAUGGGGCUUUGUCACCCGCUCUGUAGGCCCGGCCGGCGCCAGCCGACACCCCAACUUUAUUUUUUUCUAA